rnacentral:lncRNA from 1 species
ACAAGCUAGCUAGGUGUUGCUCACUUUUAAUCCCAGCACUCAGGCAUGUUGCUGCACAGACAAAAACCCUGUCUCAAAAAAAACUAAAAAAAAAAAAAAAAAAAAAAAGUAAAGAAAAAAAUCUAAACAGUGUUGCUUAUAUGAUAGAAUAAUCUCCAUUUACUAAAUAUCAUCCAGUGCCUUGCCAGUUUUUCGUUGCUAUUUUAAGAGUACACAUUGCUUUAUAAUCAGAAAAACACAUCAGUCUUGUUUUUUUGUGGAGCAGUUUGUUUGUUUGUUUUUUAGACAAGGUUUCUCUUUGUAGCCCUGGUUAUCCUUAGAGAGUCACCUACUUCUACCCUGCUUUCCCUUCAAGUGCUGAGAUUAAAGUUUUGGGCCCCAGGUGCCUGACAAUUUUUUCCUGUGUAGUGCUGGUUGUCUUGGAACUAACUCAGUGACCAGGCAUACUCCAGUUUGAUGUUAAUUUUCAUUUUGAUGCAGUUUUCAAGUUCUCUUGCUCCCCACAGCUGAAUGGGUUUGAAAUUUUAAUCAGUAAUGUGUCUGUUUUUAAUCUAUGCUAUAGGGUAAGAAUCUUUAUAAAGUUCGAUGGAAAGGAUAUACAUCUGAAGAUGAUACCUGGGAGCCUGAGGUUCAUCUGGAGGACUGUAAGGAAGUUCUUCUUGAAUUCAGGAAGAAACUUGCUGAGAACAAAGCUAAAGCAGUCAGGAAAGAUAUUCAGGUAUCAAGUUUUAUCUCAUUCUUUUUUUUUUUUUGGUUUAAUAUUUAUAAUCUUAUGUAUAUAGAGUAUGUGUAGUAAACAAUUUAUGAAAAAUACACUGUCCAGCAUUUCUUUUAGGAAUUCCAUUUUGCUCACAGACUGCUUCUGGUGAUUUUGUUCAACUCUUGUUUUCCAACCUAUGGUCCUAUUUGAGAGACAAGUAUAGUUUGUAUGUUGUUAGUCAGCUUAUACUGUAAUGAAAUACCUAGCAUAAUUUAAAGAUAAGUUUUAAUUUUGUCUUACAGUUCUAAGGUGUCAGUCUACCUCUGGAUGCCUCUGACGGGAAGCACCAGGGUGCUAAAAGCUCCUCGUUUUCACAAGCCAGGAAGCACCAAAGAAACCAGGGUCCCCAGUCCUCUUGGAGGUUUUCACAAAUGAACUAAGAAUUUCUUAUUAAGCUUCACCUCCCUAAGAUCCACCAAGCUGAGGUGGGAGGCAGAAACAGGCAGAUCUCUCUGAGUUUGAGGCCAGCUGGGUUUACAGAGCUAGUUCUAGGAUGGCUAAGGGUAGGUAACAAAGAAACCUUGUCUUAGAUAGAAAAAAAAAGAUUUCUCCUCCUAUUUGUUAGUGCUACCCUAGGGACCAAUCCUUUAACACAUGGACCUUUGGAGGACACUCAGCAUUCACAUUUCAGCAGAUAGGAAUGUUGGCUAAUAAGUUGGGGUAUGUUCAUAAUCCCAGUAAUCAGAACAGUUAGGCAGAAGGAUUACUGAGAAAGAAGGUCUGCCAGGGCUGCAUAAUGGGACCCUAAUACAAAUCAGCCAGAUAGGUAAGAUUUCUAUGUUGUUAGUGUGCUUGUUCCGUAUAACUUAUAUAGAACAAGUUUAAGAACAUUCUAGAAAGGCCGAGUUUGCUGUUUGUUAUACCUGAUGACCUGGGUUUAAUUCUCAGACAUUAUCACUUGGUGAAAGGAACAAAAGUCAGUUGAUCCUCUGACCCCUGCAUUCACGCUUACCCAUAAAAAUAAAUAAUUAAAAAAUUCAGUUACAGAUACAUUAUGCAUUAGACUGUUGAUACAUUAGACUGUUAACUUCUUAACUCAGUUUGAUGAUUCUGUUUGAUACCACUGGAAACACUGACAUUUUUCUUCUUUAUGUCUCCUUCUUAAAUUGACAUUCCUCACCUCUGAGUUUUAUUUGCUAGGUCAGAAAUAUAAGUAAUACACAUGUUAAAUUUAGGCAAUUUUUAAAAAGUCAAUUUUGCUACAAAUUUUUACAUUAGAUUUUAUUAGUACUGCCUCUUAAAACUCUUGAACUUAUGUUAGUGUUUUAACCUUUUCUGUUUUUUAUAGAGACUAUCUUUAAACAAUGACAUAUUUGAGGCAGACAGUGAUAGCGACCAGCAAAGUGACACAAAAGAAGAUAUUUCACCAAGG